CAAGCGUUGUCCGGAUUUACUGGGCGUAAAGAGCGUGUAGGCGGCCAUACAGGUCAGCUGUGAAAACUCGAGGCUCAACCUCGAGACGUCGGUUGAAACCGUAUGGCUAGAGUCCGGAAGAGGAGAGUGGAAUUCCCGGUGUAGCGGUGAAAUGCGCAGAUAUCGGGAAGAACACCUAUGGCGAAGGCAGCUCUCUGGGACGGUACUGACGCUGAGACGCGAAAGCGUGGGGAGCGAACAGG
rnacentral:rRNA from 1 species